rnacentral:lncRNA from 1 species
UGCAUCUCAUCUAUUUUUUUUAUUUUGGAUACCCAAGAUCAAAAGAGAUUUGAUCUAUUAAGGUGUUAAGAAGGGUUUGGGGUAUGAGAAAUCUGGUUGGAGGGACAAAAAUAAAAGGAGGAGAGGAGACGUGCGUGAGAGAUGAAGAAUGUCUUCUUUCUUACAUCAAAUCUUCCUUCCCAAUGCCUCUUCCUCCCUUCUCCACUUCAUCCAUGCCCAGAUCUGAUAGAGAUCAGAUCUAAGAGAGAAAAAAAUAAGAAGAAGGGUUCUUCUUUUCUUCAUGAUGAUCUGGUUCAGAUCCUGUCGGAUCUGCGUGAAAGAAUUCGCACAGCGAUCUUCUUCUUCAAGAUCUAGAAGAAGAGAUCUAGAUCCAAAGAUGAGGAGCAAGAUCUAUAAGGUGCUAGCACACUGGUGAUCUUGGUGCUCCAAUUAAGCAGUUCUGUGUAGAUACCAGUAGAGGUCGGAUGCAUUCAUGACUACGAUUAGAACUCGAGAUAUUCGCAGGAUUUGAGG